ensembl:lncRNA
UCUAAACCAGGACUAAACCAGGACUAAACCAGGACUAAACCAGGACUAAACCAGGACUAAACCAGGACUGAACCAGGACUAAACCAGGUCUAAACCAGGACUAAACCAGGACUGAACCAGGACUAAACCAGGACUAAACCAGGACUAAACCAGGACUAAACCAGGACUAAACCAGGACUAAACCAGGACAAAACCAGGACUAAACCAGGACUAAACCAGGACUAAACCAGGUCUAAACCAGGACUAAACCAGGACUAAACCAGGUCUAAACCAGGACUAAACCAGGACUAAACCAGGACUAAACCAAGACUAAACCAGGACUAAACCAAGACUAAACCAGGACUAAACCAGGUCUAAACCAGGACUAAACCAGGUCUAAACCAGGUCUAAACCAGGACUAAACCAGGAAUAAACCAGGACUAAACCAGGACUAAACCAGGACUAAACCAGGACUAAACCAAGACUAAACCAGGACAAAACCAGGACUAAACCAGGACUAAACCAAGACUAAACCAGGACUAAACCAGGACUAAACCAGGACUAAACCAGGUCUAAAACAGGACUAAACCAGGACUAAACCAAGACUAAACCAGGACUAAACCAGGUCUAAACCAGGACUAAACCAGGUCUAAACCAGGUCUAAACCAGGACUAAACCAGGACUAAAACAGGACUAAACCAGGACUAAACCAUGUCUAAACCAGGA